rnacentral:siRNA from 1 species
UAUGAGACAUUGUUGAUUAUUGCA